UUUUGGGUGGCAGAAUAGUGCAAAGGUUUUAAGCGCCUUUAAUGAGUCGUAGACUCCCCAAAAA
rnacentral:tRNA from 1 species